CACCCCACAACUCAUUCUUCCCCCAAACUCAGAGCACCUGGGUUCUGUUAGAGUCUCCUCCCACCCCAGGUGUGACCACUUUGCCCUCCCUCCCCACUCCCCUUUAUAAUGGGCCCCGGGAAGGGCAGAAGCCCUAAGCUUGCCCAACUGGGCAGAGGGAUCCUCCUCAGAUCGUCACCGUUUGCCUGGACAAAGCUGGGAUCACGGGAAGAGAUGAAGACCCUGCUCCUUGUGAACAUAUCUAAUUCACCAUCUGUGAAAAUUCCCCAUUUCUGAAAAGAUCUAAUUCCCAUCUGGGGAACAUGAUCAACAGGACUUUGAAGUUCAGGCUCAGCAUGUGAAGAGUAUCAGCUAGGACAAAAAGACAAAGUUAAAACUAAGAAAUAAACAGAAAAGUGGAAGCAUUUCCCCCACA